GAUGAACGCUAGCUACAGGCUUAACACAUGCAAGUCGAGGGACCGGCGCACGGGUGAGUAACACGUAUCCAACCUGCCCUUUACUCGGGGAUAGCCUUUCGAAAGAAAGAUUAAUACCCGAUAUAAAGGGUGGGGAUGCGUUCCAUUAGGUUGUUGGUGAGGUAACGGCCCACCAAGCCUUCGAUGGAUAGGGGUUCUGAGAGGAAGGUCCCCCACAUUGGAACCGGGACACGGUCCAAACUCGUACGGGAGGCAGCAGUAAGGAAUAUUGGUCAAUGGGCGCUAGCCUGACCCAGCCAAGUAGCGGGAAGGAUGAAGGCUUAUGGGUCGUAAACUUCUUUUAUAGAAGAAUAGGUAUUAUAUGAAUAAGGAUCGGCUAACUCCGUGCCAGCAGCCGCGGUAAUUC
rnacentral:rRNA from 1 species